rnacentral:rRNA from 1 species
AGCGAACGCUGGCGGCAGGCCUAACACAUGCAAGUCGAACGGACCCUUCGGGGUUAGUGGCGGACGGGUGAGUAACACGUGGGAACGUGCCUUUAGGUUCGGAAUAGCUCCUGGAAACGGGUGGUAAUGCCGAAUGUGCCCUUCGGGGAAAGAUUAUCGCCUUUAGAGCGGCCCGCGUCUGAUUAGCUAGUUGGUGGGGUAAUGGCCCACCAAGGCUACGAUCAGUAGCUGGUCUGAGAGGAUGACCAGCCACAUUGGGACUGAGACACGGCCCAAACUCCUACGGGAGGCAGCAGUGGGGAAUCUUGCGCAAUGGGCGAAAGCCUGACGCAGCCAUGCCGCGUGUAUGAUGAAGGUCUUAGGAUUGUAAAAUACUUUCACCGGUGAAGAUAAUGACUGUAGCCGGAGAAGAAGA